GAGCGGCGGACGGGUGAGUAAUGCCUAGGAAAUUGCCCUGAUGUGGGGGAUAACCAUUGGAAACGAUGGCUAAUACCGCAUGAUGCCUACGGGCCAAAGAGGGGGACCUUCGGGCCUCUCGCGUCAGGAUAUGCCUAGGUGGGAUUAGCUAGUUGGUGAGGUAAGGGCUCACCAAGGCGACGAUCCCUAGCUGGUCUGAGAGGAUGAUCAGCCACACUGGAACUGAGACACGGUCCAGACUCCUACGGGAGGCAGCAGUGGGGAAUAUUGCACAAUGGGCGCAAGCCUGAUGCAGCCAUGCCGCGUGUGUGAAGAAGGCCUUCGGGUUGUAAAGCACUUUCAGUCGUGAGGAAGGCGGCGUCGUUAAUAGCGGCGUUGUUUGACGUUAGCGACAGAAGAAGCACCGGCUAACUCCGUGCCAGCAGCCGCGGUAAUACGGAGGGUGCGAGCGUUAAUCGGAAUUACUGGGCGUAAAGCGCAUGCAGGUGGUUUGUUAAGUCAGAUGUGAAAGCCCGGGGCUCAACCUCGGAAUAGCAUUUGAAACUGGCAGACUAGAGUACUGUAGAGGGGGGUAGAAUUUCAGGUGUAGCGGUGAAAUGCGUAGAGAUCUGAAGGAAUACCGGUGGCGAAGGCGGCCCCCUGGACAGAUACUGACACUCAGAUGCGAAAGCGUGGGGAGCAAACAGGAUUAGAUACCCUGGUAGUCCACGCCGUAAACGAUGUCUACUUGGAGGUUGUGGCCUUGAGCCGUGGCUUUCGGAGCUAACGCGUUAAGUAGACCGCCUGGGGAGUACGGUCGCAAGAUUAAAACUCAAAUGAAUUGACGGGGGCCCGCACAAGCGGUGGAGCAUGUGGUUUAAUUCGAUGCAACGCGAGGAACCUUACCUACUCUUGACAUCCAGAGAAACUUUCCAGAGAUGGAUUGGUGCCCUUUCGGGAACUCUGAGACAGGUGCUGCAUGGCUGUCGUCAGCUCGUGUUGUGAAAUGUUGGUUUAAGUUCCGCAACGAGCGCACCCCUUAUCCUUGUUGGCCAGCGAGUAAUGUCGGGAACUCCAGGAAACCUGCCGGUGAUAACCCGGAGAAAGUUGGGGACGACGUCAAGGUCAUCAUGGCCCUUACGAGUAGGGCUACACACGUGCUACAAUGGCGCAUACACUGAUGGAGCGGUCUA
rnacentral:rRNA from 1 species